rnacentral:rRNA from 1 species
AUUGAACGCUGGCGGCAUGCCUUACACAUGCAAGUCGAACGGCAGCACGGGUGCCUGCACCUGGUGGCGAGUGGCGAACGGGUGAGUAAUACAUCGGAACGUACCUUAUCGUGGGGGAUAACGCAGCGAAAGCUGUGCUAAUACCGCAUACGCCCUGAGGGGGAAAGCGGGGGAUCGCAAGACCUCGCGCGAUUAGAGCGGCCGAUGCCUGAUUAGCUAGUUGGUGGGGUAAAAGCCCACCAAGGCGACGAUCAGUAGCUGGUCUGAGAGGACGAUCAGCCACACUGGGACUGAGACACGGCCCAGACUCCUACGGGAGGCAGCAGUGGGGAAUUUUGGACAAUGGGGGCAACCCUGAUCCCGCAAUGCCGCGUGAGUGAAGAAGGCCUUCGGGUUGUAAAGCUCUUUUGUCAGGGAAGAAACACCGGCUCUAACACAGUCCGGGAAUGACGGUACCUGGAGAGUAAGCACCGGCUAACUACGUGCCAGUAGCCGCCGUAA